rnacentral:tRNA from 1 species
GGAGAGGUGUCCGAGUGGUUGAAGGAGCCCGCUUGGAAAGCGUGUGUACCGCAAGGUACCGUGGGUUCGAAUCCCAUCCUCUCCUCCA